UACGUAGGGAGCGAGCGUUGUCCGGAUUUAUUGGGCGUAAAGGGCGCGUAGGCGGUUAAGUAAGUCGGGUGUUAAAUCUCCAAGCUCAACUUGGAGCUGCCACUCGAAACUGCUUUGACUUGAGUCUGGUAGGGGAACACGGAAUACCUGGUGUAGCGGUGAAAUGCUUAGAUAUCAGGAGGAACACCAGUGGCGAAGGCGGUGUUCUGGGCCAGUACUGACGCUGAUGCGCGAAAGCGUGGGGAGCGAACAGGAUUAGAAACCCCUGUAGUCC
rnacentral:rRNA from 1 species